CGUGAUUAUAAUAAGAAUUUUACCGUCUCGAUCAUUGAGUAAAUAGUUUAAUUGGUCCCUAGAGGGGUUUCGGGGACGAUUAUGUGCGGAGGAUUAUUCGUAUGAGGAAAAUACGACGACGGUAAAAAUGGUAAAUUUUAGCUAGUAAAAGGUAAUUUUUAUUCGGGUAUUAUUUUUCGGGGUGUUUUAUUUUGGAAGAUUGGGUUAUAAGUGGAUUGGACCGGUUUGGAGAGGCCCAAACCCAUCUCCCUCUUUUUCUCUUCUCCCUCUCUCCCGUUUUCUCCUUCCCUCCCCCGAGUUUUCUUCCUCCCACUGCCGGACUGUCCAGCCGCCAGCUGCCGCCGUCCGGCCAGCCACCGGCCGCCGCUCCACCCCAGUUCGGACCCCCAUCUCUUCCUCUCCCUCCCCGGCCUAGCCCCCGAGCCUCUAACCCGCCGGAAGAGGAGAAAACCCGCCGGAAACGCCGGGAAGCAUUUCGCCGGAACUCCCUCCUCCGGCCACCAAUCCAGGCAAGCUUGGUAUGGUUUUGUAGCCCUCCAACCCAGCAGCCUUGCCCUAAAAGGACUCACUCCCUCUUGAGGUAGGUAAGGAGAAAUUUGAGGUGGAAGUUUUAUGGUGUUUUUGAUGUUUUUAGUUGAUUUCCCUAGUUAGGCUUGGAAUUGGUGUUUGUGCUAGUUAUGAAAGUUGUAGAGCAUGAUGAGAGGAUUAUUCUGUCAAAAUUUCAUAGGUUUUGGAGGUCACCGGAAUUGGCCUCCGGCCGCCGCUGCCGGCGGUGCCGCCGCCGGUUAGGAGAUUUUUAGGGUUUUAAGUGUGGAAUAUUAAGAGGAGUAUAUUGAUGUGAUUUAUGGAAUUUUUGGAUGAGAUUUGGAUAGGUUUGUGAAUUUUCGAAGUUUGGUAUUUUUGGCGGUUAAUUAAUGUAGAAUCCGGCCGUAAGAUUUAAGUCGUAUUUUGGGGAGGUUGUAUUUACGACUGUUGAGUAUGAUAUUUAAGUUCGGAUCGUUCCGAUUUAAGAAUAUCGAAGUUAGGCAAUGAUGAGCGUAUUUAU
rnacentral:lncRNA from 1 species